AGUGAACGCUGGCGGCGUGCUUAACACAUGCAAGUCGAACGAGAACGGAAUAUAGCUUGCUAUAUUUGUCAGCUAAGUGGCGCACGGGUGAGUAAUGUAUAGAUAACCUGCCCUUAAGAAAGGAAUAACAGUUGGAAACGACUGCUAAUGCCCUAUAUGCCUUUAAUACAUAAGUAUGCAAGGGAAACGCUUUAGUGCUUAAGGAUGGGUCUGUAUGGUAUCAGCUUGUUGGUGAGGUAAUGGCUCACCAAGGCUAUGACGCCUAACUGGUUUGAGAGGAUGAUCAGUCACACUGGAACUGAGACACGGUCCAGACUCCUACGGGAGGCAGCAGUGGGGAAUAUUGCACAAUGGACGAAAGUCUGAUGCAGCAACGCCGCGUGGAGGAUGACACAUUUCGGUGCGUAAACUCCUUUUAUAUAGGAAGAUAAUGACGGUACUAUAUGAAUAAGCACCGGCUAACCCCGUGCCAGCCGCCGCUUAACAC
rnacentral:rRNA from 1 species